CUUCCGUAUAGUCGUGAUAAAACUUCUACCACAAUUGAACCAACUGUACAGCUGACAGCAGAUGCUUAUUUGUGACUUUUCAUUCUAAGAAGAUUGGCUUUAACAAAAUUUUCCUCCCGCUUCAACUUUUACGACAAAGUCAAAGACGGAAUUUUAUGCAUACUUCUAUGCAACUCCGUAUCCAUUGGACGACGACGGCUGUUUAAUACCGGUUUAUUUACAAUACAAUUUUGAACUUCAAUUACAGUGACAGACUUGAGAAGCCUUUGGAACCUAAACAAAUUUCCGGAAGAAAUACUGCGGUCGAUUUUAAAUAAAACUGACUGUUGGGAAUAUAUAUUUUAAAGGAGGUUAAAAAACGGAAAGUAAAACAGCGAAAACUCGACAGCAAUGUUGAAUUUUGUAUCAAUACGGCGGCUGAUUACAUUGUCAAGCAAUGCCAGAGAGUUGACACGCUGCAGAUAUUUAAAUUAUUUCACUCCCGAAGAUCUCAUCCCGUAUGCAGGAAAAUUUACAAAUACUGGAGCAAUGAAGACACAACCGAAACAAACUAAAUUUGGUUUGAUAAAGGUGUUCCUUCUUACUGUACCUGCAGUCCUAUUUGGCGCUUUUGUUUCGAACAAAGGCGCAGAAAUCUUAGAGGAAAGUGAAUUGUUUGUUCCAGAUGAUUAAAUUUACACAAUCGACCGAUAUCAAGUUUGGCUGAAUUUGAACAUGGGUAUAAUAAAAGAACUGUAUAGGAAACUCAUGACCAUGUUACAUGUAUGACAUUUCCAGCGAGGACAUAUUGCCCCUCAAUGUAGUUAAAAAAUUAUGACCUCGCCAAAUCAAAAAGUAUACACGUCUAUUAAUGCCGUAAUGCUUUAACAAAUUACUCCUAAAACAGAAUUACAGACAACCAUUCAAGUUGGUUAUGCAGACGAGCAGGUUUUCUAUAUGACAAGUUAGUUUGAUGUUUGAUGCAAGAUUUAUUUGCUCGUCUGUAUAUACGAAUACGAACUUUGACAAUUUUUACUGUGACAAGUACACUUGACCUAGCAUGCAUGCUACAAUCCUGACAAAAAUUAUCGUGGAGAGCGCGUGCGUCAAACAAAGCUAUAUGUAUUUCUACAGAAUUUAUCUCACUGAAAAAAUUCUCCCCCUCCUACCCCCAAUUCAGUGUUGGCAAUUCAUCUGAACAUACUUUUAAAAUUGAAAUGCGGCAAACAACAUUGAACAAGGGUCUGGGGGGCGGCAAAUUUCAUGAAAUUAUGUCGCAAUGUUAAUGUUGCCAUUAUUGACGAUAAAACAGUUAGGUGUUCACAAAAGUGUCCACAUAAUUUUUGCCAGGAUUGUAGCUUUUUAACAAGUAUACUUGUCACAGUAAAAAUUGUCAAAGCACACAUUUGGCUCGUCCGUAUAGAUCAGCAAAGAAAAGAUGUUAAGUAAUCACUUGCAUAUGCAGUUGGUGAGCGAUCUCUUGUUGCAAUGGGUAAUAGUAGCUAUCUAGUUCAUAGAAAACUUGCUCGUCAAUAACGGGCUUUAAUUUGUCUGAGUUUAGUCCGCUAGUCUAUCAUGCAUUGUAAGACCAGAGCUGUACGGAGGAUUUAUCUCCAGAGGGCAGUAAUACUUAUAUGAUGAAAUAAAAUACCAAAAUGUAGGCCUAAAUGCAUUCCAAGGC